rnacentral:lncRNA from 1 species
UACUGUAGAAUUAGUAGAAUACUGAUCCACUUGUUCUAUUAGAAGGCCCGUAGGCAAUAGGGUUAUAUACACAAGGAUUAGGAGAGACUUACUUUAACUAGGAAUCCUAUUCUAAGGUAAUUACCCUAAUAACAAAUAUCACUCCUAAUAGGAUACAUACACUACGUAAUUUAUUCUAUCUACACGUAGGAUUCUCUACACUCCUCCUCAAGCUUGGUGUAGAUAUUCACAAGACCAAGCUUGGACUUAAAGAACGUUAGGAGCUCUUGUGACAGAGCUUAAGUGAGAACAUCAGCUGUUUGUUGCCUUGAAGGAACAUAGCUGACCUCCACUAUGCCGGUUUCAACUUUCUCUGUAAUGAAGUGCCUGUCUAUCUCGACAUGCUUUGUUCUGUCGUGAUGGACAGGAUUCUUGACUAUGCUCAGUGCUGAUUGACUGUCACUGAACAGUGAUGCUUUUCCAUGUCCUGGAAGGUUGAGUUCUUUAAGAACUCGUUGGAUCCACAUUGCCUCCUGAAUUCCCAGAGCUAGUGCCUUGUAUUCAGCUUCUGCACUACUUCGGGCUACCACGGAUUGCUUCUUGCUUUUCCAUUUAACUCGUUUUCCCCAAACGUAGGAGCAGUAUCCCGUAGUUGACCUUCGUGAAGUGAUUUCAAUCGCCUAGCUAGCAUCAGUGAACAUUUCUACUGACCUGUUAUCAAUCUUCUUGAAUAAUAACCCCAGUCCUGGAGUUUUCUUAAGAUAUCUCAGAAUGCGGGUUACUGCCUCCAUAUGCUCUUCGGUCGGUUCAUUCAUGAACUGACUCACCACACUGACUGCAAAUGUAAUAUCAGGUCGUGUGUGUGAGAGAUAUAUUAGCUUACCGACUAAGUGUUGAUAUCUUCCUUUGUCUGUUAGCCUCUUCGUAGUUUCUCUGCAGAACUGGAGGUUUUCUUGCAUAGGGGUGUCAGCUGGUUUGCAGCCUGUCAUGCCUGUCUCUUCUAGCAGGUCUAGGACAUACUUUCUCUGAGAGAUACUGAUCCCUACACUUGAUAUGGCCACUUCCAUUCCCAGGAAAUACUUCAUUUCCCCCAAGUCCUUCAGUUCAAACUCUAUUCCCAGCUUCACCUUUAAUUUUGCUAUUUCCUCUUCGUCAUUGCCUGUGAUUAUUAUAUCAUCAACAUAAACGAUAAGAAUAGCACUCCUGUUUCCAGCACUGUGUUUAACAAACAUUGUGUCGUCUGUUUGACAUUGGUGAUAGCCAUUUGAAAUCACCGUGCUUGAGAAUUUUUCAAACCAAGCACGAGGGGACUGCUUUAAUCCGUACAAGGAUUUUUCCAGCUUGCACACAGCUCUUCCAUUCCUGGCAUGUUGAACACCUUCUGGAACAGUCAUAUAUACUUCUUCAGUCAAGGUGUCGUUCAAGAAGGCAUUCUUGACAUCCAUUUGGUGUAGAGGCCAAUCUUUAUUAGUGGCAAUAGAUAGUAGGAUCCUCACCGUGUUCAGUUUUGCCACAGGGGCAAAAGUUUCCAGAUAAUUGAUUCCGUAGGAUUGGGUAAAGCCACGAGCUACAAGUCGUGCUUUAUACCGUUCUACACUACCAUCUGCCUUAUAUUUGAUAGUAAAUAUCCACUUACAGUCUACGGUUUGUUUCCCGUAAGGUAAGUCGACUAUUCUCCACGUGCCAUUACUUUCUAGUGCUACAAUUUCAUCAAGGACAGCCUGUCUCCAUUCUGGUAUGGUCAUUGCCUCCUCAAUGGUUCUUGGUUUAGUAUCCAAGUGAAUUGUAAAGGCUCGAAAUUCUGGACUAAGACGUCCAUAGUUGACAUACCUCUGAAUAGGGUGACGAGUUCAUUCCCGGACUCCUUUCCUCGUUGCUAUUGGCAAGUAUAGGUCAUAGUUUUCAAGCUGAUACACUUUUUCAACUGCAGUUCCUCUGGAUUCUGAUUGUGGAGCCGGUUCUGGUUGAAUCAUUUCUUCCACAUCAACUGGACUAUCAGUCGAAUUCCCUGAAGUUUCAAUCUCCUCCGAAUUCUCAGGGUCUGCUCUUCUCCUUCUUUGGUACACAUGUCAAAUUUCAGGUCGUGGAUCAGCAUGUUCUGAUUGGGAAUUUUGGGAGGUUACCAAAACCUGUGGCAUUACUGGUGCAUCCAUGGAUAUUAGCAUAUCUAGAGGUUCCAGAGUUCCUUCCUCUCCCCCUGUAAGUGUCUCCCCCUGAAGCUCUGGAUUGCUAUAAUAUCCGAAGUUUUCAAAGAAGGUCACAUCCAUAGUAGUGAAUACCUUACUAGUGGUUGGGGAAUAGCAUUUGUAGCCUUGUUGGCGAGGUGCAUAGCCAAUAAACACACAUUUCUGUGCACGUGGAUCAAGUUUGGUCCAUUGGUGUUGUUGAAUGUGGAUAAACGCAAGGAACCCGAAUACCCUCGGGUCCAUAGCGGACAUGUAGGCUCGCACAUGCAGAUAUGUUUGUACCAGAACAUCCUUGGGUGUCUAAUAGUUCAGGAUUCGACAUGGUAGUCUGUUGAUCAUGUUCUGUGAGGACAUGAGUUUGAAGAAUUUCUCCAUUGCCGCUGCUUGUUCCUUCGAGAAAGGUGUGGCUUCUGGAGUGUUCUGUUGUGGUGGUUGCUCAGUGAUUGUUGCUACAUGAGCCUUUCCUUUCUUUUUCCUAUCAAGAUUGGCCGGUUUCCAUCCUGGUGGACCCCCAAUUAGGUACCAACACUCAGCCCUAGUGUAACCAUGACGACGGCAGCGAUCACAGUAGGGAUCGUCAUCAUCGUCUUUUCUUCGUAGACUGGGGUUUUGGCUCUGUUUGCUGCUGUAUUGGCCACGAACAGCCAGGGCUGAGCCUUCAGCUGGAGCAGUUGUUUUGUUCGCAUUGUUGGAAGUUACCAUGAGAUCCCGUCGAUAUUCUUCUCCUAGGAUCUCUGCAAAGGCCUCCUCGAGGGUAGCGAAGGGCUUGGUGCUCAUUAUGCGACCCUUAAUUCCGUCAAGGUUCUGGUUCAGUCCCAAGAGAAAUGCCAAGGUACUCUUCUUUUCAAUGAACUGUCUGAAUUUCUCCUGGUCAGCUGGAGUAUCCCAGUCAAUGCCUUCAUAAUUGUCUAGAUGAAGCCAGUGAUGUCCCAGCUGGUUGUAGUACUCAGUAACAUCCAUCUCCCUCUAAUGAAGGUGGAAGAGCUGCUGUUCAAUCUUGAACAUGGCAGACGAAUUGUCAAUAGUGGAGUACCUCUUCCUGGCUGCAUCCCAGAUAGCCUUGGCAGUCGGGUGAAGAAUGUAGUUUUCCCCGAUAUUUGGCUUCAUAGAGUUGAUCAGCUAGGUGCGGACCAGGUUAUCGUGCUCAUCCCAGGUUUCAAAUCUAGGAUCGGUGCUUUCUGGUGCCUUGGUUGCACCAAUUAAGUACCCUCCUUUUCCUCUACCUUUUAUGUGCAUCUGGACGGUCUUGGACCACUUGAGGUAGUUUUUCCCGUCGAGCUUAUGCGUAGUAAGGAAACCAGAGUAGUCUGUGGUAGUCGGGUGCCAUUGUGCUCUGGUUACUUCCAGUAGCACCUGCUCCCGUGCUCAGGGAUACACUGAGGCUGCCUUCAUUCGUCAUUGCUUCGAGCGGAUAGAGCGACGGCGGAAGUCUUUAGGGUUUUAGGUACAGAGAAGGCUCUGAUACCAUGUAGAAUUAGUAGAAUACUGAUCCACUUGUUCUAUUAGAAGGCCCGUAGGCAAUAAGGUUAUAUACACAAGGAUUAGGAGAGACUUACUUUAACUAGGAAUCCUAUUCUAAGGUAAUUACCCUAAUAACAAAUACCACUCCUAAUAGGAUACAUACACUAGGUAAUUUACUCUAUGUACACGUAGGAUUCUCUAUAAUUACUAUAGCUGUUGUUUCAAUCUCGAAUACGACCGUAGAUCCAACCAUAAAUGUUAGAUAUAUUAACAACUUACACAGACUAAAACAGAUUUACAUCCUUACCGGUGUGAGAAACAAUGGGAAAGAACCAAUAAGACACCAGAAGCAAGAUCAAUGACUCCUUUCUCAUACAUAUACCUAUUUUGAAAUUCCUAAUCCUUCUAUCGAUUGAUACUCAUUUUAAAACCAAACACUCAUACCAUAGCUCCUCCCUAUAUUGGUGGAAUAUGCACCCAAAUAAGUGUCAUGGAGAACAUAAAAGCAUAGAGCUACUACGAAAAUUAGUUGAUGAACUGAUUUCAUGCAACCUAUUGUCCACUAGCACCUGCUAAUUUGAACCUGGCAAAUAAGCUUUCAUAUUAAAAGAUCCAUUAUGAAUUCCCCAAACUCCACAACAUACAACUACCGCAUAAUCUUGCAGAACUGAUUAUCAAAAGAUGAG